UACGAAGGGGGCGAGCGUUGUCCGGAAUUACUGGGCGUAAAGGGCGCGUAGGCGGUCCUUCAAGUCAGGUGUGAAAGCCCCGGGCUCAACCUGGGAACCGCGCUUGAGACUGGCGGACUCGAGUUCGGGAGAGGAUGGUGGAAUUCCCAGUGUAGAGGUGAAAUUCGUAGAUAUUGGGAAGAACACCGAUGGCGAAGGCAGCCAUCUGGACCGACACUGACGCUGAGGCGCGAAAGCGUGGGGAGCAAACAGG
rnacentral:rRNA from 1 species